AGGUAGAUCACUGUUAUUGAAUGUUCCUAUGACUUCUGCAGUAAUGCUUUUUUAAGAAGAAGAAAAAAACAGUUGCAAAAGUUUUCGUCAUCUUCAGUGGACAUCUUGGGAGUUGGGACUUUCCAUUGCUUGGUUUUUAUGUUUAUUUAUAUUUGUAUAAAUUAAUGUAAUUUAACUGUGCCUACCUUUAAUUUAACUAAAUAUAAAUUAUAAAAGCAAACAACUUGAUCCAUAUUCCAUUCCAGUUGGUGGCGAUAAUGCACCAAUAAGCUAGGUUGCCAACCGCCAAUAAAAACCAAAAAAGAAGUUGGGACUUUCCACGCGCUUUCGUCAUCAUCACCAGCACUCAAUUUUCGCGCUCACCUCGUGCUCUACGGUUACCGGAGGAGGAGGAGGACGAUCUCUAAUGAGAGCGAGUUCAGAGCCAUAUUCAGUCAGGUCUGGAGAUCCGGUGCCCAUUUGGUUGCAACAGGACAUUUAAGAUGGCAACGGUUGGAGUUAAAAAUCAUCAUUCGUGUUCAACUGAAGAAACAAAGUCACCUACAUCUUGGAUGCCCUGGGGGUGAAUCCAUGACCCCAAGCAAGUGGAUGUUGUCCGUCGAGAGGGAAGUUGUCCUGGGCCCAUUUUCAGAGGCAUUUGUUGAGGGUCUGGCAGCAUUGUUUGCGACCUAUUACAACUUGAAUCUUGCUUAUCAGGAUGAUGCUGCAUGCACGCUGGAUUUUAUUCAGAGAGGACUUGUGGGCAUCAACCCGGAAACUGGAUCAAAAGUUGCUGCUGGAAAGCGAGACAAGAAAAUGCAUGGAAUGAACCCACAUGUAUGCACACUGUUACAUAAACUAAUGGACUUUAAAUGGCUUGUCAUUUAAAGUAUUCCAACAGAAUUGAUACCAGAGACUGACCCGAUUUCCAAGUUCAUAUUCUUGCCUUUAAGGUAGGCACAGUUCAGACCAUGUCUUUAGUUUAUGACUUUAGAACACUUUAGGAAUGUGUGCACUGCAUAGUUAAUAUUUAAAGGCAUAGUUCACCCAAAAAUGAAAAUUUGAUGUUUAUCUGCUGACCCCCAGGGCAUCCAAGAUGUAGGUGACUUUGUUUCUUCA